rnacentral:rRNA from 1 species
AUUGAACGCUGGCGGCAGGCUUAACACAUGCAAGUCGAGCGGGGGAAGGUAGCUUGCUACCGGACCUAGCGGCGGACGGGUGAGUAAUGCUUAGGAAUCUGCCUAUUAGUGGGGGACAACAUCUCGAAAGGGAUGCUAAUACCGCAUACGUCCUACGGGAGAAAGCAGGGGAUCUUCGGACCUUGCGCUAAUAGAUGAGCCUCAGUCGGAUUAGCUAGUUGGUGGGGUAAAGGCCUACCAAGGCGACGAUCUGUAGCGGGUCUGAGAGGAUGAUCCGACACACUGGGACUGGGACACGGCCCAGACUCCUACGGGAGGCAGCAGAGGGGAAUAAUGGACAAUGGAGGGAACCCUGAUCCAGCCAUGCCGCGUGUGUGAGGAAGGCCUUAUGGUUGUAAAGCACUUUAAGCGAGGAGGAGGAUACUCUAGUUAAUACCUAGGGAUAGUGGACGUUACUCGCAGAAUAAGCACCGGCUAACUCUGUGCCAGCAGCCGCGGUAA